CCUACGGGAGGCAGCAGUAAGGAAUAUUGGACAAUGGACGCAAGUCUGAUCCAGCCAUGCCGCGUGAAGGAUUAAGGCCCUCUGGGUUGUAAACUUCUUUUAUAGGGGACGAAAAAAGGGCUUUCUAGCUCGACUGACGGUACCCUAUGAAUAAGCACCGGCUAACUCCGUGCCAGCAGCCGCGGUAAUACGGAGGGUGCAAGCGUUAUCCGGAUUCACUGGGUUUAAAGGGUGCGUAGGCGGGCAUUUAAGUCAGUGGUGAAAUCUUCAAGCUCAACUUGGAAACUGCCAUUGAUACUAUUUGUCUUGAAUAUUGUGGAGGUGAGCGGAAUAUGUCAUGUAGCGGUGAAAUGCUUAGAUAUGACAUAGAACACCGAUUGCGAAGGCAGCUCGCUACACAAAUAUUGACGCUGAGGCACGAAAGCGUGGGGAUCAAACAGGAUUAGAUACCCUGGUAGUCCACGCCCUAAACUAUGGAUACUCGACAUUUGCGAUACACAGUAAGUGUCUGAGCGAAAGCAUUAAGUAUCCACCUGGAAGUACGACCGCAAGGUUGAAACUCAAAUGAAUUGAGG
rnacentral:rRNA from 1 species